CUAAUCCUACGGGAGGCAGCAGUGAGGAAUAUUGGUCAAUGGGCGCGAGCCUGAACCAGCCAAGUCGCGUGAGGGAAGACGGUCCUAUGGAUUGUAAACCUCUUUUGUCGGGGAGCAAAAGACGCCACGCGUGGCGUUCCGAGAGUACCCGAAGAAAGAGCAUCGGCUAACUCCGUGCCAGCAGCCGCGGUAAUACGGAGGAUGCGAGCGUUAUCCGGAUUUAUUGGGUUUAAAGGGUGCGCAGGCGGAAGAUCAAGUCAGCGGUAAAGUUGGGAGGCUCAACCUCUUCGAGCCGUUGAAACUGG
rnacentral:rRNA from 1 species